rnacentral:rRNA from 1 species
AUGAACGCUGGCGGCGUGCCUAAUACAUGCAAGUCGAGCGAACAGACGAGGAGCUUGCUCCUCUGACGUUAGCGGCGGACGGGUGAGUAACACGUGGAUAACCUACCUAUAAGACUGGGAUAACUUCGGGAAACCGGAGCUAAUACCGGAUAACAUGUUGAACCGCAUGGUUUAACAGUGAAAGACGGUCUUGCUGUCACUUAUAGAUGGAUCCGCGCCGCAUUAGCUAGUUGGUAAGGUAACGGCUUACCAAGGCAGCGAUGCGUAGCCGACCUGAGAGGGUGAUCGGCCACACUGGAACUGAGACACGGUCCAGACUCCUACGGGAGGCAGCAGUAGGGAAUCUUCCGCAAUGGGCGAAAGCCUGACGGAGCAACGCCGCGUGAGUGAAGAAGGUCUUCGGAUCGUAAAACUCUGUUAUUAGGGAAGAACAAAUGUGUAAGUAACUAUGCACGUCUUGACGGUACCGAAUCAGAAGCCACGGCUAACUACGUG